rnacentral:rRNA from 1 species
GGUCUCAUGUCUAGUAUAAGCACUUUAUACUGUGAAACUGCGAAUGGCUCAUUAAAUCAGUUAUCGUUUAUUUGAUAGUACCUUACUACAUGGAUACCUGUGGUAAUUCUAGAGCUAAUACAUGCUAAAAACCUCGACUUCGGAAGGGGUGUAUUUAUUAGAUAAAAAACCAAUGCCCUUCGGGGCUCCUUGGUGAUUCAUAAUAACUUAACGAAUCGCAUGGCCUUGCGCCGGCGAUGGUUCAUUCAAAUUUCUGCCCUAUCAACUUUCGAUGGUAGGAUAGUGGCCUACCAUGGUGGCAACGGGUAACGGGGAAUUAGGGUUCGAUUCCGGAGAGGGAGCCUGAGAAACGGCUACCACAUCCAAGGAAGGCAGCAGGCGCGCAAAUUACCCAAUCCCGACACGGGGAGGUAGUGACAAUAAAUACUGAUACGGGGCUCUUUUGGGUCUCGUAAUUGGAAUGAGUACAAUCUAAAUCCCUUAACGAGGAACAAUUGGAGGGCAAGUCUGGUGCCAGCAGCCGCGGUAAUUCCAGCUCCAAUAGCGUAUAUUAAAGUUGUUGCAGUUAAAAAGCUCGUAGUUGAACCUUGGGUCUGGCUGGCCGGUCCGCCUCACCGCGAGUACUGGUCCGGCUGGACCUUUCCUUCUGGGGAACCUCAUGGCCUUCACUGGCUGUGGGGGGAACCAGGACUUUUACUGUGAAAAAAUUAGAGUGUUCAAAGCAGGCCUUUGCUCGAAUACAUUAGCAUGGAAUAAUAGAAUAGGACGUGCGGUUCUAUUUUGUUGGUUUCUAGGACCGCCGUAAUGAUUAAUAGGGAUAGUCGGGGGCGUCAGUAUUCAGCUGUCAGAGGUGAAAUUCUUGGAUUUGCUGAAGACUAACUACUGCGAAAGCAUUCGCCAAGGAUGUUUUCAUUAAUCAGGGAACGAAAGUUAGGGGAUCGAAGACGAUCAGAUACCGUCGUAGUCUUAACCAUAAACUAUGCCGACUAGGGAUCGGGCGGUGUUUCUAUGAUGACCCGCUCGGCACCUUACGAGAAAUCAAAGUUUUUGGGUUCUGGGGGGGAGUAUGGUCGCAAGGCUGAAACUUAAAGAAAUUGACGGAAGGGCACCACAAGGCGUGGAACCUGCGGCUUAAUUUGACUCAACACGGGGAAACUCCCCAGGUCCCGAACAAAUAAGGAUUGGCCAAUUGGAAACUCUUUCUUGAACCUUUUGGAAGGGGGGGGCCUGGGCCGUUCUUAAUUGGGGGGAAGGAUUUUUCUGCUUUAUUGGGAAAACAAAAAAAAACCUCGGCCCUAAUAAAACCCGGGCCCCCUUUUUUGGGGCCCUGGUUUUUU